GACGCUGGUGGGAGGGCUUUGGCCUGUGGAAGAAGGAAAACAAAGCCGGCCGCGUUGUCCCGGCAGUAGAAAAACCCCAGGUCUAGGGAGCUGUUCAGUGGUGGAUAUGCUAGAAAGCGUUUCACGUCGUAAAAGAAGUACCUGCCAAGGUAGAGAAGUGUCGACGGCAUCUUGGAAGUGAUGAGUUAUAACCUCCAACUGAUAGAGAUAAAAAUAUUUCUUAUGCUUUUCACUGCUAAGAUUAUGAUGGACUAGAGAGAAUGACUCUGCCACUACAAUGUGACUAGAAACUGGAUAAAUUUCAAAUAUAAUUUUAAUACAUUGCUGACAUACAAGAAAUGAAGGAUAUCUCCAUGUGCCAGAUAUGGAUAGUGAAAACAUUAAAACUGGAAUAAUGAACGUUUAAACAAAUUAAAAGACAAGGAUUGCCUUUGGGGGAAAAGGUCAAUCCCAGCACCGAGAUUGGAAGAUUAAGCCUUGGGUUUUCUGCAGCUUAGAGAGUGGGACUCUUCCAUUAAGCCAGGAUCUUUGAAGAGGACUAGAGUGGCCCCAGAUCAGUAGUCUCCACUGGAUCCAUGAAGAAACAAAUAUAAGUCCCCGGUUGAGGCUUUCUGAUUUGCAAAGGUUAAACACAAUCAAAUAUAACAUAAGAAAUUAACAAACAUACCAUGGAUGAAAGUCAGGAGAAAACAAUAAGAGCACAUUUAGAUUCUUGAGAAUUUAGAUUUGAAAUUAUCAUAGAGUAUAAAGUAAUUAUGGAUCAAGUCUUUUAAGAAAUUAAAGAUGAAGGGCCGGCCCAGUGGCACAGCGGUUAAGUGCACACGUUCCACUUUGGCAGCCCGGGGUUCGCAGGUUCGGAUCCCGGGUGUGGACAUGGCACCACUUGGCAAGCCAUGCUGUGGUAGGCAUCCCACAUAUAAAGUAGAGGAAGAUGGGCACGGAUGUGAGCUCAGGAUCAGUCUUCCUCAGCAAAAAGAGGAGGAUUGGCAGCAGAUGUUAGUUCAGGGCUAAUCUUCUUCAAAAAAAAGAACAAAGAAAAGAAAUUAAAGAUGAAAUAAAAACUGAAAAGGGAUCAAAAUAUAAGUCUAAUAAAAAAUAUGAGGCAUAUUUGAAAAACCAAUUAGAAUAUUUAUAAGUAAAAUACAGUUACUGAAAUUAAUAACUUGGUGGAUGAAUUAAACAGCAGAAUAUUUGCAGGUGAAGAGAGAAUUAAAUAUGAAGGAAAUAGACUGUCAUACAUAGAGACAAGGCAGUGAAUAUGAUAGAGAGGUUAAGCUACAUGGAGGAGGUAAGGAGUAGGUAUAACACAUCUAAUUGGAAUUCCAGAAGGAGAAAAUAGAAAAAAGGCAAUAUUUGAAGAUAUAAAGACUGAGGAUUUUGCAAAACUGGUGAAAGGACAUGAAUCCACAGAUAGAGGACACAAGAGUCCAAGAUAGAAUGGAUAAAUCAAUAGAAAGCCACACCCAGAUCUGUUUUAGUAAAACCAAAGAAUAUCAAAGAUGGUCUUAAAAGGUCUUAAAAGCAGGCAGAGAAAAAAGGUAGAUAAUUGAUUAUUACAAAGGAGGACAAAUAGAUACCAGGUUUUACAGUAGCAACAAUGGAAGUGAGAACACAGUGGAAUGAUACCUUCAAAGUUCUGGAGAGAAAAUAACUGUCGACCUAGAUUUGUGGAUUUAGCAAAACUGUUUUUCAAGGACAAGGGCAAUAAAGAAAUUUUCGCACAAACAUAGAUUGAAUUUACUACCAAGAAACCUUCCCUGAAGGAACUUUUAAAGAAUGUACUCUGGAAAGAAGAAGAAAUAUGUGAAAAUAAGUUCAGGAUACCCACAUGCAAAAGAAUGAAGUUGGACACUUUACCUCCCACUAUAUACAAAAAUUAACUCAAAAUGGAUCAAUCCUAAAUGUGAGAGCUAAAAGCAUAACACCCUUGGAGGAAAAUGGGUAGACCUUCGUGAUCUUGGACUUGGCAGUAACUUCUUAGAUAUGAGCCCAAGAGCACAAGCAACAAAAGAAAAAAUAUAUUGGACUUCAUCAAAAUUAAAAAUUUUGUGCAUCAAAGGACAUUAUCAAGAAAGUGAAAAGACAGCCUACAGAAUAGGAGAUAUUAUUUGCAAGUCAUAUAAAUCUUUUGUCUAGUAUCCAGAAUUUAUAAGAGCUUGUACAACUCAACAACAAAAAGAUAACACAAUUAAAAAGUGAGAAAAGGACUUGGAUGGACAUUUUUCCAAAGAAGAUAUACAAAUGGCCAACAAGCACAUGAAAAGAUGUUCAACAUCAUUAAUCAUUAGAAAAAUUCAAAUCAAAACUGCAAUGAGAUACCACUUCAUGCCCAGUAGUAUGGCUAUAAUUUUUUUAAUGGAAAAUAAGUGUUGGGGAGGAUGUGGAGAAAUUGGAAAUGUUGUACAUUGUUGAUGGGAAUUUUAAAUGAUGUAGCCACUGUGGAAAAAAGCUUAGGGUUCUUCAAAAAGUUUGACAUAGAAUUACCAUAGGAACCAGCAAUUCUACUCGUGGGUAUAUGCACCCAAAAGUUGAAAACAUAUAUACAAACAGAUGCUUAUAUACAAAUGUUCAUAGCGACACUAUUCACAGUAACCAAAAAGUAGAAACAACCCAAAUGUCCAUCAGUAGAUGAAUGGAUAAAUAGAUCUGGUAUAUUCACACAAUGAAAUAUUGUUCACCCACAAAAAAGGAAUUAAUUACUUAUACUUACUACAGCAUGGAUGAACCUCAAAUGUUAUGCUAAGUGAAAGAAGCCAGACGUGAAGGUCACAUAUUGUAUGAUUCCAUUUGGAAUAUCUAGAAUAGGAAAAUCCAUAAAGACCGGUAGCAAAUUACUGGUUUCCAGAGCCUGGGAGAAGAAGGAAUGGGGAGAGACUGCUUAAUUGACCUGGAGUUUCCUUUCGGGAUAAUGAAAAUAUUCUGAAACCCAUGGUGGUGAUCGUCGCACAUUGUUGUGAAUGUACUAAAUGCCACUGAAUUGUACACUUUAAAAUGGUUAAAAUUGUGAAUUUUAUAUUAUGUGAAUUUUACCAAAGAAAUUAAUAAACAUGUAAGUAAAUCUGGACAUUGUUUAUUAUGAUAAAUGAUGACGAUAAUAAUGUCUCAUUGGUGUGGUUCUAAAAAUGACAAUUAAAAUAGUAGACAACACAAACACAUGAGUUGAGAAAGGAGUAAUCAGAGUUAAAGUAUUUUAAAGUCCCCAUGAGAACCUUUGAGAGCCAUUGGCUCUCAAGUCCUUUGGACUGUGAUCUACAAUAAGAAAUUUUUUUACAUUGCCACCCAGUGUACACACAUAUGUAUGUGACUGAAACAAAAAUUUCACAAAAUAAUCCUUGCCUUAACUUUGUGUGUUGUACACUAUUUUCUAAUCUAAUUAAUAUUAUUUUUUUAAG
ensembl:lncRNA